rnacentral:siRNA from 1 species
ACGAUCCGUGAAGCUGAUGUGAAC